CACGUAGGGCGCGAGCGUUGUCCGGAAUUAUUGGGCGUAAAGAGCUCGUAGGCGGCCUGUUGCGUCCGCUGUGAAAGCCCGGGGCUUAACCCCGGGUCGGCAGUGGAUACGGGCAGGCUAGAGGUAGGUAGGGGAGAAUGGAAUUCCCGGUGUAGCGGUGAAAUGCGCAGAUAUCGGGAGGAACACCGGUGGCGAAGGCGGUUCUCUGGGCCUUACCUGACGCUGAGGAGCGAAAGCGUGGGGAGCGAACAGGG
rnacentral:rRNA from 1 species